CUACCAGCAGAGCCCGCUAUGAGACCACUUAAAUUUGGAAGCGGAAGGUAGCCACUGUCAAAAAUCACUGUGAGAAGCAAGGGCACAACGUAGCUAAAACUGGACAUCCAAACACUCAAGGCAUAAGGAAAUUGGAUAUUGAUGUUCAAGGAGCCGAAUUUAAACAUUGGAAAUGUGCGGAAUUUAAAUAGUAUCCCAUGCUUCUGAUGAAUCCCCUUCUAAACGCUGAAACUCCAGCCAGACUAGGUUUUUUGUGUAGGUGAAACACGUCUCACUGCUACACAGAAAGCACAAACUACAGCCAGACGGUAAAAAUAUUUUUUCCGGUGUCUGAAAGCUAGAAUCA
rnacentral:lncRNA from 1 species